UUUGAGCGUGCGGCUCAGCGGCGUUGAGUACGUUCAAAGCCCCCUGGCUGCUGUGAGUGCAGAGGGGCCUUUGGGACCACAUCCAGUGCUGCCCCCCGGGCACGAGGCUCCACAGCUCCCAUCUCACCGCCAAUGGAAGUGUAAGCCCUGACACGGCUCAGGGCCCUCAAGGUCCCCUGUCCUCUCCCAACCUGCCCCACCCGUUCCCCUGCCCAGUUGCUGGGCCUCCUGCUGGGCCUGGACUGCAAGCCUCCCUCAGCUGAGACCCGCCGGUCCUGCAGAUGGCCAGGGCUUCUCCCACCUCCAGGCUCGCUGGUGUCUUCCCCCCACCCUGUCCCAAGCCACCAUGCCAGCCCACCUGUCUGAGUCUGCAUGAGUAGCCAUAACAAAUCACCGCAGACCUGGGGGCUGAGACAACGGAAAUUUACUUUCUCAGUUCCGGAGACCAGAAGUCCAAGACCCACGGGCCAACCCCUCCCACUUGGGAAUUUUAUCAGUCAGUGAAAGAGAAUCACCCACGGCUAUGAAUGCUCACGCGUGAAAACCGAGUAACUGCCUCGAUCCUCAGUUCCUGCACACAAGGCUCCCCAUCAUACGGCAGAGUCUCACCCUGUUGCCCAGGUUGGAGUGCAGUGGCGCCAUCAGGACUCACUACAGCCU
rnacentral:lncRNA from 1 species